rnacentral:rRNA from 1 species
UUUUAUGGAGAGUUUGAUCCUGGCUCAGGAUGAACGCUGGCGGCGUGCCUAAUACAUGCAAGUCGAGCGAACAGACGAGGAGCUUGCUCCUCUGACGUUAGCGGCGGACGGGUGAGUAACACGUGGAUAACCUACCUAUAAGACUGGGAUAACUUCGGGAAACCGGAGCUAAUACCGGAUAAUAUAUUGAACCGCAUGGUUCAAUAGUGAAAGUACGGUUUGCUGUCACUUAUAGAUGGAUCCGCG